GGCAGCAAGCGGUGCGUGCUUUUAAACUGUCCGUUAUCGCCCAUGACGAUGUCGCUGACGGUGGAUGGCGUUGCUCGAGGUUCGGGCAAGGAAUGACGUCAGAAGGGCUGGGCGCUCUGCCCUCUAACGCACGUGAAGAUUCAGUGGCGGCGCAGUUGAUAGCCGGGCGUGUCGAUGUCGAGCAGCAACAAGGGAUUUGGACAGCAGGAGGCGUUCGAUGAUCCGGGCCAUUGCUUGAAAGGAAGCCCAGAAGCUGCACAACAAAAAAGAUGCGCUGUGAGUCCUUCAUUCCACUUGUGCCUCCGUGCCCACUAGCGUGGCAGCAAGCGGUGCGUGCUUUUAAACUGUCCGUUAUCGCCCAUGACGAUGUCGACGGUGGAUGGCGUUGCUCGAGGUUCGGGCAAGGAAUGACGUCAGAAGGGCUGGGCGCUCUGCCCUCUAACGCACGUGAAGAUUCAGUGGCGGCGCAGUUGAUAGCCGGGCGUGUCGAUGUCGAGCAGCAACAAGGGAUUUGGACAGCAGGAGGCGUUCGAUGAUCCGGGCCAUUGCUUGAAAGGAAGCCCAGAAGCUGCACAACAAAAAAGAUGCGCUAUGUUCCCGCUAUAUAUGACCAAAUGAACUCUCCUGGCUGUCAGCUGC